rnacentral:lncRNA from 1 species
ACUGUGAGAUCGAUGGGCUUCACGUCUUCUCCAGUGGGAGUGAUGGGCGCCGGCUGUACGGAUCCCGGAGCCUGACUGCUGUCUACAGUGGCCUGAAGGGUGAGAAGCACGGCCGCGGAAGCAGAUACCAGGUUCGGCUGCAGCUGGGCAGUCUGGGCAGUGGAGGCAGAGGAUGGAGUCUUGCUUAGUCGCCCAAGCUGGAGUAGUGUGGCUCGAUCUCAGCUCUGCAACCUCUGCCUCCCAGGGUUCAAGCAAUUCUCCUGCCUCAGUUUCCAGAGUAGCUGGAAUUAUAGAUUCUGGGAAAGUGAACUCCACGGAAGACUCAGAAACCAAGUUCUAAUUCAGUUGCCAUGAAAACUUAAGGUGAGAGGAUUGUCAACCAGUGAAAAAUACGGAGGAAAACACUAACAGAAUAUGAUGAAGAAGCCAAGACUUGGGCUGCUUGCAUUACAUUAACCGAGGUUUACCCGCAGCGAGGCUGCCUCCAAAGCAUCCGGAGUUUGCAACCAUCACUGUCCACCCCGCGAGCUGCGAUAGUGCGAGAACUACAAUUCCCGUGGGGCUGUGCGGGAG